rnacentral:rRNA from 1 species
UGGGGAAUCUUCCGCAAUGGACGAAAGUCUGACCGAGCAACGCCGCGUGAGUGAAGAAGGUUUUCGGAUCGUAAAGCUCUGUUGUAAGAGAAGAACGAGUGUGAGAGUGGAAAGUUCACACUGUGACGGUAUCUUACCAGAAAGGGACGGCUAACUACGUGCCAGCAGCCGCGGUAAUACGUAGGUCCCGAGCGUUGUCCGGAUUUAUUGGGCGUAAAGCGAGCGCAGGCGGUUAGAUAAGUCUGAAGAUUAGGCUGUGGCUUAACCAUAGUACGCUUUGGAAACUGUUUAACUUGAGUGCAAGAGGGGAGAGUGGAAUUCCAUGUGUAGCGGUGAAAUGCGUAGAUAUAUGGAGGAACACCGGUGGCGAAAGCGGCUCUCUGGCUUGUAACUGACGCUGAGGCUCGAAAGCGUGGGGAGCAAACAGGAUUAGAUACCCUGGUAGUCCACGCCGUAACGAUGAGUGCUAGGUGUUAGACCCUUUCCGGGGUUUAGUGCCGCAGCUAACGCAUUAAGCACUCCGCCUGGGGAGUACGACCGCAAGGUU